rnacentral:tRNA from 10 species
GCGGAUGUGGUGAAACUGGCAGACACGCUAGACUUAGGAUCUAGUGCUUCGGCGUGCAGGUUCAAGUCCUGUCAUCCGCACCA